CCCGCACCUCCCCGCCAGCUCGGACCUCGGGCAGCCAGGUUGCCCCUCUUCACACGGGCCUCACCCAGAGCCCCGCCGGCCCGAGGCCAUUGUUUCUCCCGCAAACUCUCCGCCCCGUGGUUUGUUUAUUCCCGGGUCCCCCGCUGAAUAGCCUGCGAACCCCAAGAGGCAAAGGGUCUGGUGCCCUGAUGCUGACCAGCUAGGCCGGGGCCGGGCUGCUGGGCGGGAGCUUUCCUGCCCCACAGGUUGUGAAGGUGCCAAGGCGCUAACCUGGGGAGACUGUUACCCAUUCCUUCCUCCUGCUCUGGCCCUGCCCGGCCUCACCAGGCCCUCCCAGCUUCUGUGGCAGAACCCCGGGGGGUGCCGAAGGGGCACUGACAGACUCUGGGCCCUGGAAGAGGCCAGCUGCCCACUUGUCUGAGGGGCUGGACCCAGUGGCCGCAGGAUGGCCGGGCUGUCCGAAGGCUGUGGCAGCCACGGCCGUACUGGCUAAGGAAGCCUCUAAACUGACUUCUGGCCGAGACGUACACGUGGCUGCGCCCCACGCAGUGGAAACCCUACUGCACAGCCCACCUGCGCGCCGGUUGUCAAAUGCUCGUACUACCCAGUACCAGGUGCUCCUGCUCGACCCCCGAGGGUAAGCUUCUUGGAGACGACAGCCCUACACCCGGCCACUCUCCUCCCCGAUGAGGGAGCUGAAACUCCCUCCACGACUGUGAAGAGACCCUGACUACCCUAACCCCCUUGAGGGCCGACCUAACCGACCAGCCCGUCUCCAGCCCUGAGGAGACCCUGGUCACCGGCGGGAGCAGCUUUGUGGAGGACGGUGUAGGGUAUGCCGGGGCAGCUGUAGUUACACUAGAAAGAGUCCUAUGGGCACCAUCCCUAGGACAUGGGACUUCAGUACAGAAGGCAGAACUCAGAGCCCUCACCCAGGCCUUACGGUGGGGAAAGGACACGAGAAUCAAUAUCUACACGGACAGUGGGUAUGCCUUUGCCACAGUGCAUAUACAUGGAGCCUUAUAUCAGGAGAGGGGCCUCCUAACCUCGGGGAAGGAUAUUAAAAAUGCUCCAGAGAUACUAAACCUUCUUUCAGCCAUUUGGGGCCCUAAAGAAGUUGCAGUCAUACAAUUCCCCUGUGACGAAGGGGAACCAAUUGCCGACAAACGGCUAACGAAGACCGCGAAAAGACCAGCAGGGCCCCUGGAGGUGCUGGCAGCCAUGCCUGCUCAGUCUGGAGCCCAACCCCAGGUACACCCCCGAGGAGGAGGAUACAGCCAGGAGAUGCCAGAUCUGCGCACCAGUGAACCCAGGACCUCCGAUAACCGCCCCGCCAGGAACCCGGUUUCGAGGUUCAAGCCCUGGUGAACACUGGGAAGUCGACUUUACUGAAUUGCCCAGUGGACUGGGAGGUACUGAUAUCUCCUGUAUUUGUGGACACUUUCUCCGGUGGCCGGAGGCAUACCCGACCAGGGCGGAAACAGCACAGUCUUUGCAGGCGCUCCAGGGCAGUACAGCGGCUGCAAGGCGGAUGUCAGGGCAGCACAUCAGGAAGCCCACCCACCGGACCCGGACAGCCCACCUGUGUGCGCUCCUGGCGACCUAGUCUGGGUGCAGAGGCGUGAGGAAUGCAGGCUGCGAAGCUCGUGGUCCUCCACACCCAUUGCCGGCGAGUCCCCGGAGAAGGAGGGGAGGAGUCUGAAUCAACGAUUCAGUAGGGAAUGUUCUGGGCUGCAAACAUUGUACAGCUCCUCCGGUGCCUGGAGGCAGGAUGCCUUGGGACAGAGGGAGUAGGUCACCGAACAAUGGGUCGGUUAGAGUUUGGAGGGAGGUAGUGGGUCACGCUCCAGCCAAGCGUGCCCAUGCGUUACACCUGUGCCUGAGUUCCUUGGAAACGGCUGAAAUAGCUUUAGUAACCUUUGGGUUGUCAUUGUAACUGUCCUAACUCCCUCUUGUGGAUUCUGAGUAUAAAUUUGCUGUAACACCUGAGGUCUGCACCGCAGUUCGGCCUUUGCCGCGGUGAAGUGUUGCAACUGCAGUCCUGGCCAGCUGAAUAAAGGCUCAUACAUGUUGA